CGCUGGCGGCGUGCCUAACACAUGCAAGUCGAGCGAAGUGAUUCCAAAUCAGACCUUCGGGUCAAGUAAAGAAUCAUCUUAGCGGCGAACGGGUGAGUAACGCGUGAGAAACCUGCCUUUCACAACGGGAUAGCCUCUGGAAACGGGGAAUAAUACCAUAUGACAUUAUUUUUUCACAUGAAAGAAUAAUUAAAGCGUAAAGCGGUGAAAGAUGGUCUCGCGUCCUAUUAGUUAGUUGGUGAGGUAACGGCCCACCAAGACAGCGAUAGGUAGCCGGCCUGAGAGGGUGAACGGCCACACUGGAACUGAGACACGGUCCAGACUCCUACGGGAGGCAGCAGUGGGGAAUAUUGCACAAUGGAGGAAACUCUGAUGCAGCGACGCCGCGUGAAUGAUGAAGGCCUUCGGGUCGUAAAAUUCUGUCCCUGGGGAAGAUAAUGACGGUACCCAAGGAGGAAGCCCCGGCUAACUACGUGCCAGCAGCCGCGGUAAUACGUAGGGGGCGAGCGUUGUCCGGAAUUAUUGGGCGUAAAGGGUUCGCAGGCGGUCUGAUAAGUCAGAUGUGAAAGGCUAUGGCUUAACCAUAGUAAGCAUUUGAAACUGUCAGACUUGAGUUAAGGAGAGGAAAGUGGAAUUCCUAGUGUAGCGGUGAAAUGCGUAGACACUAGGAGGAAUACCAGUGGCGAAGGCGACUUUCUGGACUUAUACUGACGCUGAGGAACGAAAGCGUGGGGAGCAAACAGGAUUAGAUACCCUGGUAGUCCACGCCGUAAACGAUGAGUGCUAGGUGUUGGGGGUCAAACCUCGGUGCCGCAGCUAACGCAUUAAGCACUCCGCCUGGGGAGUACGUA
rnacentral:rRNA from 1 species